CCUACGGGAGGCAGCAGUGAGGAAUAUUGGGCAAUGGACGAGAGUCUGAACCAGCCAAGUAGCGUGAAGGAUGAAGGCCCUAGGGGGUGGAAACUGCUUUUAUAGGGGAAAAAAACAGGGUAAGCAUACCCUCUUGUAUGUACCAUAUGAAUAAGGAACGGCUAACUCCGUGCCAGCAGCCGCGGUAAUACGGAGGAUCCGAGCGUUAUCCGGAUUUAUUGGGGUUAAAGGGAGCGUAGGGGGAUUGUUAAGUCAGUUGGGAAAGUUUGCGGCUCAACCGGAAAAUUGCCUGUGAAACUGGCAGUCUUGCGUCCAGUUGCGGUGGGCGGACUUCGUGGUGUAGCGGUGCACUGCUUCGAUAUCCCGCAGAACUCCGAUUGCGACGGCAGCUCCCUGGACUGCAUCUGCCACUGAUGCUCUACAGUGUGGGUAUCACACCGGAUUAGAUACCCCUGUAGUC
rnacentral:rRNA from 1 species